rnacentral:lncRNA from 1 species
GAGCGAGCUAGGAGGGGCCGCCAUGCAGCAGCAAGCUGCACAUGCACAACUGGAGUUCAAAGGUGAGAUGGGUGCUGGAAGUACGGAUCCCAGACACGCUGACCUUUAGAGGAAGGAGAACAGAAAACCAGAAAAAAUCCUGUCCGUGUCCUGAGAAACACCAUUGUCUGAGUACAGAUGUUGACGGAAGUUGACCUUCGACCAAAACCUGUGCAUUCAGAAAGUACCGACCACAGCUUCCUCCCUGCAGAUGACUGCAGCCCGACACUGCUCCCUCACAGAGACCACCUAUGGAGAUAAGCUGAGCCGUCUCUUCAUCCGUGCUGUAUAUCAUAAACACAUUGAGCUUCAGGACUACUGCUUGUAUGUCUCCAUCUGAGUACAUGCCCACUGGGUCCCAGCCUUACAUAAUUUUUAUCUAUCUUAUUCUUCAUGGCCCCCAAUCUGAUCAAGACCAAAGCCAUGUGGGUUUCUGCAGGAAGUCCUUUCUGAAGGGAGUCAA